rnacentral:rRNA from 1 species
GGGCUCUGAGUGAGGCUCUGGGUCACCUCCCACCCGUGUUUAUUGUACCUUGUUGCUUCGGUGCGCCCGCCUCACGGCCGCCGGGGGGCUUCUGCCCCCGGGUCCGCGCGCACCGGAGACACUAUUGAACUCUGUCUGAAGAUUGCAGUCUGAGCAUAAACUAAAUAAGUUAAAACUUUCAACAACGGAUCUCUUGGUUCCGGCAUCGAUGAAGAACGCAGCGAAAUGCGAUAACUAAUGUGAAUUGCAGAAUUCAGUGAAUCAUCGAGUCUUUGAACGCACAUUGCGCCCCCUGGUAUUCCGGGGGGCAUGCCUGUCCGAGCGUCAUUGCUGCCCUCAAGCACGGCUUGUGUGUUGGGCUCCGUCCCCCCGGGGACGGGUCCGAAAGGCAGCGGCGGCACCGAGUCCGGUCCUCGAGCGUAUGGGGCUUUGUCACCCGCUCUGUAGGCCCGGCCGGCGCCAGCCGACAACCAAUCAUCCUUUUUUCAGGUUGACCUCGGAUCAGGUAGGGAUACCCGCUGAACUUAAGCAUAUCAAUAAGCGGARGAA